rnacentral:rRNA from 1 species
UACAGAGGGGGCAAGCGUUGUUCGGAAUUACUGGGCGUAAAGGGCUCGUAGGUGGCCAACUAAGUCAGACGUGAAAUCCCUCAGCUUAACUGGGGAACUGCGUCUGAUACUGGAUGGCUUGAGUUUGGGAGAGGGACGCGGAAUUCCAGGUGUAGCAGUGAAAUGCGUAGAUAUCUGGAGGAACACCGGUGGCGAAGGCGGCGUCCUGGACCAACACUGACACUGAUGAGCGAAAGCCAGGGGAGCAAACGGG